GUAAAAAGUCCAGAGUUAGGAUGGGAGGCAUCCUUGAUAAUGCUUUUCGCCCUGCCCAGGGAGCGUUUAUGGUAAAUGUUUUCAAUGGUGAGCAAUGCUGGGUCCCGGUGAUCCGAUUUCAUCACCGCCGGAGUGCUUUUCAGUCUGAUGCAGAGUAUUUGCCAUGCCACUGAGAUACAGUUGGUGGAUGCUGUGAUUGAACAAUCUACAAUUCCAAUCUGGAAUCAGACACCUGGUACAAGAGCAAAGUGAAUGUAACCAAGGAGGGACAGGCUGAGAGAUGGCCAAAACACACAGGAAUCCUGACAACAGCCUGGAACUAACAACUGUUGCAAGUGGCAUUGAGAACUCCAAAUCUUCAAGCACAGCACUUUUCUCAGAGCCCAAACAAGAACUCAGCAGGAAGCCAAGACAGAAGAUCUAUUCUUCUUCUUCUUCCACAUCAUCCUUGCUGGUCCUGAGGGGACUCUGAGGGGGCCGGGGCUGGCAUUUCGAGAGCGCAAGGCGGUACUUUCCAGAACAUUUGCCAUCCAGGUACUUUGCAUUCAGCUGCAAAUGCGCCACCAAUUAAACUGCACCCCUCUCAUUUUUCCCCCCAGUACUUCAAAGGCACGGAAUAGCUGAUGACAGGGCCUCACUGAUAGCCCCCAUUGAUCUGCUGACGCAGGGGAGCUUUGGUGCCUUCACAGCCUCGCCACAGCAACCCAGAUCCUGCCCAUCAAAAGGAUUUUUAAAUCCACCACCGUUACCAAAAACUGAACAAUAAUCACAAUUAGUGAUAUGAAUAGUGUAAUUCCAGCACACAGAUGAUCAACACCAGCUGUUAACGCACAAACACUAUUACACAUUUAUCUUUAAGCUGUAAUCGUGAAAGCAGUAGUUGUGUAUAGUGCACAUCUGACGUGGUAUUGUUAUGAUAAUUGAGAUUUGACUGGUUUUCAAAAGCUAUGUAGGACAAAAAACUAAAAGAAACAAACUAGAGAAACCACCAGGGCCGUAUAAAUGGAGGCUGGCCAAACCAAUGUAAAUAAACAAAGAAAUGUUUCACAUGAAAGAUCAAAUUAAGUGCCAUGCAAUUAUCUGUAUAAUUACAUGGUAAUAGUCAAUCUCAACAGGAUUUAGCUAAUUAUUUGGUUGUGUUGCUUUAUUAGAGUUAAAUCGAGUGGCUUUUUGGGGUCCAGUUUCAUUGUACCGCCAACAAAAAAGUUUCAUUGUUUAUAUUUUUAUAUGAUAUAGCUGAAGGUAACAGCUGGAUGUCAGGCUGCCCUUCUAGAGAGAGUAAAAGCAACAUCUGUCAUCACCAUAGCAAUCAGACCGUUUCCUACACAGAGCAGACAGACAUGGGUUGUGCAUUUUAAAGUGAACAAAAGACAAGGGUACACAAACAUGGCUUUGGAUGGGAAAAUGAUUGAAACCAGAAGGGUCUAACUCAAACACACUCUUAGAUGUGUAAUAUGUACCACCCUAUACCCAAAUUCACAAGCUUUCUUCUGCUUACCGUUUACACGUUCCUUCAACAUACAUUGUAUGUUUUUCCAUUUAUUGUUUCUCCAUCACACUGUGAGUUCCGUACGUUUCCUAUUUAAAGUAUGCCAUUCAUAUUGGUGUCCUAAAAUACCUUACAGCAAACCUCCAAAGCACUUUAACCGACUACACAUAUUCUUUUGCUCUGAAACGCUAUACGGUUCACACCAGGCAAAACCAUUCAGACGGCUGUAGGAAUUUGAACUACUAUUCAGCUGUCAGAGGCAUUAACGGACAUUCAAAUCUCAGAAAUGCGGCCUCUUCUUCUGACGCUUUUUGCAAACCGAAAUGGCCCCAACAGAGCAGAUAAAAUGGGUAACUCAUUGAAUCAACAUCAAACUGUGGAACAGUGUUUAGAGACAUCAUAGCACAGUGUAAUCGCAACACUAGGCACUGUUCAUGUAGCAGUCGGCGGAGCACAGAUCUUAAU